rnacentral:ncRNA from 1 species
AAAUGAUUGCCGCCGGGUAACGCCUUAUUCAUUCCGAUAGGCCUUAGAAGGGAUGAAUCAAGGCGUUCUUUCUUU